rnacentral:tRNA from 1 species
UCUAAAAUGGCAGAUUAGUGCAAUGAAUUUAAGCUUCAUUUAUAAAGAAAUUUCUUUUUUUAGAA